UGUAACGUACGGCAUGGUGACUAUAGUUAACAAUACUGUCUUGCAUAUUUGAAAGUUGCUAAGAGAGCAAGUCUUAAAAGUUCUCAUCACAAGAAAAAGAGUGUUGUAGCUACGUAUAGUGACAUGUUAACUAGUCUUAAGGCGGUGAUCACUUUGCAAUAUAUACAAAUAUCGAAUCAUUGUGUUGUAAUCUGAAACUAAUAUAAUGUUAUGUGUUAAUUACACAAAAACAAAGAAAUACAAAUUCUGGGGCCUUACCCUAAACCUACUAAAUCAGAAAUUUUGGGGGUAGGGCCCAGCAAUAUGCUGUUUUUAAACAAGCCCUGCCGGUGAUUCUAAUAUGCAUAAAGUUUGAGAAUUAAGUCCCAGCAUUACAAAAGCAAAAACUGAAAUUCUCCUGAAGACAUUUGUAUUUACAAGUACGUUGUCAUGGUUAUUAUUUACACAUUUUUAAAGGCAUAAACUAACAGUAACACCUGGGGUUAAUUUUAAUCCCAUAGCUGGCCAAAACCUCGCUGAUGGGCAGGAGAACGAGGUGAAGAGAAGGCCUGCGAGCUCAAGGCCACUGCGCUCGCCACCUGGGAGCCGUGGUGGGAACGACCAUCAGAACACUGAGGACACACAUGCAGGCGCUCGGGAAGGGAAAAGGUAUUUCGUUAGUCGUUCAGAAUCUCUGCGCCCCGCGCUGGAGAAAGGAGGUCUCGCGGCUCUGCCCCGGCCACUCUUUCCGAGGAAGUGGCCUGUUUCCCGCUCGCUGCCCCGCCCAGCUCCGCGGUUAGCGACUCUUCCUCACCUCAGAUUCCUCAGCCGUCCGCUGGGCCGGCGCGCUCCUCUCCCCAGCCUCGCAGACGCAACCUUCCCUCUGGGUGCUCCUUUCGCUCUCUGGCCCCUGGCCCGACCCUAACAGACACCUUUCGCCCCUUGACAAUUAUUAGUCUGUGUUCGCUCUGCUUAUUCCUCGUGCGCUCCCCGUGAGCCCUAACCGAUUCCCUCCCUCGCCCGCCACCCGGCCUCGAGGAGCCGGCGCCCUCCUGCCUGGGUAAAGGGCGGGAAGGCAGCAGGGGCGGGGCCAGGGGAACAGCUGCUCUCAUUGGCCAACGACUGCUUUCCCCGCCCCACAGCGGGGCUCCUGGGAGCAGAGUUCGAGGUGUUUUUUGUCUUUUUAAUUCCCUCUUCGCGCGAAGCACCGCCCCAAUUACUGGGCUUCGCUGCUGCCCGGCGCGUGGUUUCCUGUUGGUCAAGGCCCCCUCGGGACCUUCCCCUGCGGGCGGGGCAGCUCUGGGAGGCUGUGCCCUCUCUCUCAAGGAGAUUCCGGGUGUGCCAUCAUUUUAGUUUGCACUGCUCUGGCCUCCUGAGGGCUCCCCAACUCCUGGGCGGGCCUUCUGCGUUCAUCAGUCAUAGGUCUUUCUGUUUGAGCCCUCACUUCUGGAGACACUGCUGUUAUUAUCGGCAUAUGACAGAGACUUUGUUCCUGUAUCUUAUGGAACUUAAGGCGACUGGAUCAUGGAGAAAGGACCCGUUUAGGUGAGGAGCAUAUGAAGAAUGGCCAGAUAAAAGCAACUAGUGGAUUAGGAGAAGGAGCAGCUGUAUGUGAAAGUUUGUCAAGUGCCAAAAGAAUAGUUCUCAACAAACUAGGCGCUUUACCUGUAGUCUGGUCCUUUUCUUCUGGAAAGUCAUAUUUUAGGAUUCUAAAAUAUGGGAUGAAGGAGGUUUUACUCUCUUCUGGAUAACUAAGGCCUUUGGAUACUAAUCCUGAAAUCUUACUUUUUUGCUAAUGUUUAAAAGUACUUUCUUGUCUCUAAAGCUUGAUAAAGGCCCUAGGGUUUUUUUCCCCCCAUUGGUUUAAAAAAAAAAAAAGUAUAAAAUAUAACUUUUAUUUAUUCUUUUGAUGGUUGAAGGAGGCAACAUGUCAGAAAGUGGGACAGGAACUGUGCAGGGGAAGGUUUCCAAAGUAUCCAAUAAGGGAAAUGGAAAUGAGUGGCAAAGAAAGAGCAUCGAUUUUUCUGAAAUCUAAGAAAGGUGGAAGCUGAUAGGUCAUCAGGAAUCCAGUGUAAAAGGGAAAACUUGCCAAAUAUUUUAGCAUAGUGAAAACUUUGGGUUGAUUUUAAGUUGGAGUUAUCCCUUGAGGUGUUGGAUCAUCACACCUGUUAUGUUAGAAGGUUGUUGGGGGGCAAAGCUGCUUCUGGUGGUGGUACAGUGGGGACUGAAAUAUGUGGGAUUUGUUUCCAGCACUGCUGUCAUUUCAUGGCAGUUUGUGCUAGAUAAAUGUUUAUCCAGCACAGUAUAUGCAUAGUCGAAUUCUGUGUUUUUAAGAGUAUAACUUCUGAAUCAAUUUAAGUGCUUUGUAAAGUUGGCUGUUUAAUCUGUUAAGUUUGUAGUUAACUUGUGGUUGUAGUAUUGGUAAAUAAUCCAGAUUUCUAGCCUAGGUGCAUAGGUCCAUGGAUUUAUUUCUUUUAGGAUUUGUAGAGAAGAUUGCACAUCUUUUUGGAAUAUUUGUGUAUAUUAAUGUCAAAGGAAACUUUUAAAUAUAAUACUUAGAUAUAAAAAUAAUUUUAGACCUCUUGUAUAUAUUGAUAUAUACAACCUCCCCAGGAGGUGGGGAGGUGGUAAGAGGCAGGACUGUGCAUCUGCUUCCAGGCUUCCAGCACAUGCUUCAUUGUCCUAUACAACUUCACUUACAAAGGACAAACUCAAAAAUGAAAUUGUUAAGAAUUUUAAGAUGGGAACCUCCAUAUUAACCCUCAAGCAUGGAGCCCUGUGUGACUGCACCAUCACAUGCUGGUGAAGCUGGCCCUGGUAAUUCCAUUAAAGGAAUUUUCUCCAAUGUAGAAGAUAAGGGAUACACAUUUCUUGUGUAUUCCUGUUGUGUAAUUUAUCUUGUGCAAAAUGAAAGGCUCAUUCACAUUGGUGACAUUCAGAGUGUUUCUACCUGGUGUGAUUGCUCAUCAGUUACAUAAGGAUAGAGAAAUUGCCCUCUGCUCAUUGGUUACAUUCAUAAGAUUUCUGACCCAUGUGAAUUCUCUUAUGUUGUCUAAGGGAUGACAGAUCAAUAAAUGCUUUCAACACUCAUUGCAUUCAUAGGGAUUCUCUCCACUGAGUGCUCUCUUAUGCACAGUAAGCGAAGAACACGGUGGAAGGAUUUUCUAUAAAGGUUACAUUCAUAGAGCAUUUCUUUAGUGUGAUUUGUUGUAUGUUUCCUAAGGGAUGAAGUAACACUGAGGGCUUUCCCACAGUCACUGGAUUCCCUUUUGUAUUCUGUUGUACACAGUAAGGGAAAAGCUACUCCUGAAAGAUUUUCCAUGUGGAUUACAGUUAUAGGGUUUUCUCCAGUGUAAGUCCUCAUGCAUAUGUCAAAUGUGAGUACUUUCUGAAGAUUGUUCCACAAUCAUGGCAUUCAUAGGGUUUCUUCCCAGUGUGAAUUCUUAUGUGUGCGCUGAUGGUAGAAUUGACAUGGAAAGCCUUUCUGUAUCGAUUACAUUAUAGGGAUCUUCCCCAGUUUGAAUUCUCUUGUGCCCUCUAAGGACAGGUCUAAUGCUGGAGACUUGAAAACACUACUUAUGCUCAUAGUGUUUUACUCUAGUGUGAAUUCUCCUAUAUAUCCUAAGGGAUGAGACCUACCAAAGGCUUUCCUGUGGUCCUUACAUUCGUAGGGUUUCUUCCCAUUGUGUACUCAUACAUACAUCAGAAGUUAAGAGCAGCUCUGAAACAUUUUCCACAUUAAUUACAACAGAGCACUUCUCAUCAGUAUGAAUUUUCUUGUGUUGAGUAAAGUUAGAUCUUGCACUGAUUAUAUUCAUUGAGUUUUUUUCUAAGAUGAUUUCUCUCCAUUUUUACACAAUUAAAUGACUUUUACCUGAAAAAUAUCCUGCUUAAGAUUUGACCCUUUGGUUUUAAGUAAAACCUACAAAUCUAGACAGGUACUUGGAGAAUUUUAUCCUUCUCUAUCAUCAACUCUUCCUCUUCCUCCAACCAGAAGAUCAAACUGGGUUUGCUGAUAUCAUGCCCAAAUGAUGCUAUUUCUCUAGUUCUUGCUCAUCUUAUUCUAUGCUGUUUUCACUGAGAAAAGUCUAGUAAAUCCUACUUCUUCUAGGUGAACUCCACAGCUGUAUCUUUGAAGCUCACCCAAGUCCUGUGACCAGCUUGUCAGCAGCCCAGCAGUCAACCCGUCUUUCCUUGCAUUUCCCCUCUGGUGUCAGGGAAGCUCCCGAGCAGGCCAAGAAUGAAUUGAGGACAGAUAAACAACUUGCCGUCCUGAUGAAGACCUUUGGACUCAAGGGUAACACAACUGAGGAGUAACUAGCCUAAAGAAGUUGCAGAAAACAAAUCUGACAAGAGAAGUGUGAAGAACCCCUCUCUCACCAUCUGAAGAGGGU